rnacentral:lncRNA from 1 species
CUCAUCCCUCCUCGGAAUUCUCCCCAGCUGUGGCCAUUUGGCCUACUGUCAUUUAUGAUUUAGUAGAAACCAAACAAGAGAUCCUCCCAGAUUCAGGACUAGAUGUUUUCAAAAGCCAUUUUGACACAUUGAGCAUCAUAGAGUAUAUUUUAGUCAUUUAGCAGGUACAUUUUAGUCAUUCAGCAGAUGCUCUUAUCCAGAGCAGUUACGGUUGUGCCUUGAUCAAGGGCACAUCGACAGAUUUUUCACCAGCGACUCAAACCAGUGACCAGAGUCGAGUGGCCCUAUACGCUCACUACGCAAGUUGCGUAGGGUUCCGCAAAUUACGCAAGGUCCCCGCCUCCUCCUCGUGCCAAAGCGGGUGUCACUGUUUACAACUUCGAUGAGAGGAUGAAGCGGAACUAUCCUUCUGGUCACGAAAAGAGAGAGAAAAAAACACCAUGAGAGUGAAUUGCGGGAACAGAAAUCAGGCUACCCGGUAUCAGAAAAUUCCAGGCAUUCCCGUGAUUGGCAGAUAGCAGGUUGAUUGGCAUGACCCCGCGAACACUGACAGUCCAGAUAGACUGGUGCCCAUGCUGAUGCUGAAAAUGCCCAGGCUGUAGAGGGAACCGAAGUUAAUCACACAGCUGUUAUUUGACUAUUUUGAGACAUAUAGCUGCAGCCAUAGCCUAUAGGCUUAUGUUUACCCGUGUGGCUCAGUUGGUAGAGCAUGGUGUUUGCAACGCCAGGGUUGUGGGUUCGAUUCCCACGGGGGACCAGUACGGAGAAAAAAAUGUAUGAAAUGUAUACAUUCACUACUGUAAGUCGCUCUGGAUAAGAGCGUCUGCUAAAAUGAUUAAAAUGUAAAAGUGUUUACAUUGUAUAGACAAAGCUAAUUGUAUAAUAUUGUGAGGACUGGACUAAUUACCAGGCAGCAGAGCCAAAGCUCGGUGUUAUAUUUCAUUAUUUUCUACAAUUUCUUAUUUAUGUUAAUGUUAAUAUUCAGUUAUCUUAAGAUUC